rnacentral:rRNA from 1 species
GAGUUUGAUCCUGGCUCAGAAUCAACGCUGGCGGCGCGCCUAACACAUGCAAGUCGAACGAGAAAGUGGAGCAAUCCAUGAGUAAAGUGGCGUACGGGUGAGUAACACGUGGGUAAUCUACCUCUUUGUGUGGAAUAACCCUGGGAAACCGGGGCUAAUACCGCAUAAGCUCGAGAGAGGAAAGCAGCAAUGCGCUGAGAGAGGAGCCCGCGGCCGAUUAGCUAGUUGGCAGGGUAAAAGCCUACCAAGGCAAAGAUCGGUAGCCGGCCUGAGAGGGCACACGGCCACACUGGCACUGAAACACGGGCCAGACUCCUACGGGAGGCAGCAGUGGGGAAUCUUGCACAAUGGGGGAAACCCUGAUGCAGCGACGCCGCGUGAGCGAUGAAGCCCUUCGGGGUGUAAAGCUCUUUCGGCAGGGAAGAUGAUGACGGUACCUGCAGAAGCAGCUGCGGCUAACUACGUGCCAGCAGCCGCGGUAAUACGUAGGCAGCAAGCGUUGUUCGGAGUUACUGGGCGUAAAGGGUGUGUAGGCGGUUUGGUAAGUCUGGUGUGAAAUCUCCCGGCUCAACUGGGAGGGUGCGCCGGAAACUGCCGGACUAGAGUGCGGGAGAGGAGAGUGGAAUUCCUGGUGUAGCGGUGAAAUGCGUAGAUAUCAGGAGGAACACCGGUGGUGUAGACGGCUCUCUGGACCGUAACUGACGCUGAGACACGAAAGCGUGGGUAGCAAACAGGAUUAGAUACCCUGGUAGUCCACGCCCUAAACGAUGCAUAUUUGGUGUGGGUCAUUCAGUUGAUCCGUGCCGGAGCUAACGCGUUAAAUAUGCCGCCUGGGGAGUACAGUCGCAAGGCUGAAACUCAAAGGAAUUGACGGGGGCCCGCACAAGCGGUGGAGCAUGUGGUUCAAUUCGACGCAACGCGAAGAACCUUACCUGGGCUCGAACGGCUGGUUUACGGCGGUGGAAACAUCGCUACCCCGCAGGGGGUCCAGUCGA